AUGAUUCACCUAUCGGAUUCAGUGUUUACAAAUGUGAGUUUUUUUUACAAUGACUAUGGGUACAGUUGCCUGAAGCUGAUACUGUACAGUUUCAAACUGGUGAUUAGAAUUUGCAACAGAAACACUGCACAUAACAAGUCUACUGACACAUACUGCAGCAAUGUCUCCAGGACUGACAGUCCAGAUGUUUCCUCGGUCACUAAUAGUCAUGACUUGAAAUGUUAUUAUUAUUGCGAGAUUUAUCAUCUAAUUUCAAAUGGACCGCUCCAUACCUGUAUCUUCAGUAGUAUGGAAAAUGUGGGAAAAUGUUCUCAUCUAGAAGAUCUUUUAGAGGCUAACUUGCAUGAGUAUCAGAUUGAAUUUACUAUACUGUAUAUGUAAGAGAUAAGCUACAUGGAAUCCCUACAUGAAUUUGACAUCUUUUAGAAAUUAAAUAAAGGAAAUGUGGAACCGCAAACCUCAUUCUGGCUGUUCUUUUAGAGCAAUAUAAAAAGGGAAAACUUUUUAUCAGUGUUCCAUUUCACUGUAUAGCUUGAUAUGGAACUGGCAGAAAUACCAAAUGUGCUGAUUAAUAAAGCCCUUUAUGAACGUGUGCCUGAGGUAAGUUUUGGCUUCUGAUAUCAGCUGAAAUGGGCAGUAAGAACAAAUGUGUGGGUAGAUAUAAAACAGAGCACCAUACUGCUAGUUAAACCUUUAUCAAUAUACACAGGAAUAUAAAAUAAAGGUGAAAAUCAAGUUUGAAUUGGACACGCAUCUACUGAAUAUUUACUUUGAUACAAUAACCACCUACUUUUGACAAAACCCUUACACAUCUAACACCAAAACGCCAAACAACAUCUGGUAGCACAGCUAGAUCGGCCCGGUCUGUCUCAGGGAUCCUCCUUUCUAGUUCUCCAGAACCUUGACUUAUGGUUUUCACUUGAGCACCUUUUUAAGUUUUUUAAAGAAUGAGUAUUGCCAAUUGUUUUUUUAUGUAAAUCUCCAACUGGGGUCACUGCUGCGACUCUCGUAUCAGUACAGAGGGGAUUAGACUGAUCAUCGUGCAAGUUUGUUCACACUACAGUCCAACAGCAGGGUUAAACAUCAGAUGCAGGACUAUAAACUGUUGCAGCUUACAUUGAUAUCAGGCCAAUCCACUGCUAUGAGCAACACUGUCCAGUUCCUUGGCAAAUCUCUCUCAGCGUCACUUUAAAAUGUAGCCCAGAUUUAAGGCAUCAAUCUCUACAGGGCUUCUCAAACUGCAGAUCUUCCAGUCCACUUCAUUGCAUUCCUGUAUUGAGACCAAGUACUUAUUUCUAGAACUAAUUUCAAGCAUUUUAAUUUAACAACUUUAAUGUAACAGUUCAGUUGUUGUUUUGUGUUGGAUUUUUUUUUCUUUUGAUAUUUAUGCAUUAUAUUAAUAUCAGGAAAUCAAAGAACAAGAACUAGUAGCAGAAUACUGUUCAAUCUGUUCUGCCAUUGCUGGAUUAGUUGAUUGUUGAUUCCGUAUUAAAUGUCUAACCAGCUCUUGAACAGGCUGCUGAUUGAAGAUGUUCAGCCACUGGCGGGAAUUGAGAUGUAUGAAACAGUUCCAAAAUAAGCUUCACUGAAAUAAAAACCAGAAGACAUGGGGUUCUCAGAAGACUAAGACUGAGGAAUCCCAGUUCUACAGAAUCACUUUGCAUUUUUUCAGUUUGCACCAAUUGGUCAGCCUGUAGAUCACAGCCUUCUCCCUCCAUCCUAAUAUUUUGAACCCAGGCUUGUAUUACUCUAGUGUUCCGAGACCUGUGCUAACCAUGCAUGUGAUCGUUGACUGAGACCCUGCCUAUUCCGAUUUGUUAAACUAAAACCAUGUGACUAAGUCUAGUAGGAACAGUGAAUGAAACGUCCACAGCUAUUUUCGUCCAUUUCCUACAGAAGAUCACACUGUGUAGGGGAAGGGAGGUGGCACUGGCUGUAGUCAAACAUCAAGAAACAGCAGGUCAAUAUUUUCUGUUUUUUCAAUAGUAAAAUGGGGCAAAAAGCAACUAUUCAAGAGAACAGAGUCUUCUGGUUUUCUUUUGUGUCAAGUUCUCUUCUCCGUUGAGUCAGCUGUUGUGGCAGUUCCUCAAGAUUAAUGUGAGCACUGCUUUUAAUAAAUCAGUGAAGAAUGAUCAGGUUCUCCAGGACUAGACCCAAGAAUUACAGCUGUAGCUGUUCUGAUUACAAACAUACUUAUUGUAAGAGGAUGGGUUAACCAACACCUUGACCAUGAGUGCCAGUGUAGUGCAUAUAGCACGCGGUGAUCAUGUCUGACCAGGAUUUGAACCCUGUACCUUGUAAGCAUCUUACAGCACCCUAAAUUGCAAAUAACACUGUAGCAGAGCAGGGGUCUGCCAAAUUUAAAAGUAAGAGUCAACAUAAGAGACUUCAACACCAUUGGGGAGCUUGAGGAGGUGAUAUCACUGUACUAGUCUCAUCUUACUCAUGAUGAGACCUGUCACGUGUGUCUGCAGUGUUCACAGCCUCAAGCAGCAGCUCCGGCUGAGGUAGUACUCCUUCUGAAUAUGACUUCUGGGGUCUGCUCCCUUCCCCUCUCCUCUGAAUGGUCAACAGGAGAGGGGGAAAUACAUAUAUAGGGGUCAUCUGUAGAGAUUUCGUUCGCAUGAAAAACAGUAUUAACUGCAAAGCCUGCAACCCAAUGUCUUUCAGUGCCCAUUGUUUAGAAAAGGACUCUUGGUUUGGCUUCUGUCUUCCAUCGCCUUUACCUCCCAGCCAUUGUGAACUGAUUCCGUUUGGGAACCAUCUCCCAUGAGUUCAGGGAAAAUGAUCGUGCACCCACAAAAUGUUACUGUUUGAGAACAUUAGUAUGGUGCCGUUGGCUGCAUUUGUAGUCAUAACUGGUCAUGAGAAGGCUCUGUGUGCACAUUCAGAACAUCUGUAGAAUACAGGAGGACAGAAAGGAACACACUACAGGCCCCUUUGAGGGGGUCUCACCUCCAGCAUAGGGUGGAGACAGGAAAGGGGGAGUUACUAUCAUCUACGUUCAGAUACUACUGAAUAUUAUGAGCUUUCACAAUCCCAAGGAGAAUUAAAUCUAGGGUCAGAGAAGACUGAACUGCUUACUUCUAACACUUUCACUUUCCCCACAGGUACAUGGAAAGUCCUGGUCAGAAACAUCUUGGAUCUGUGAAGGAACAGGUGAGUGGAAUCCCAGCUGAUCUCUUCAUGUUAAUUGGUUGCCAGUUUAGAUCUCUGUACGCAAGUGCUGGGUCUUUUUAAAGUGCUAGGGUGCCUAUAUCGAUGGGAUAUGACUUUUGGAACAUUGAACUCUUCAGAUUUUCACUCACCAAGGCUAUUUGAUAUGAGGAAGUACAACCAUGUACUGUAUUUCCUUUUAAACAUACAACACGCACACUUCCCCUGGAAAAUCUGGAUAUUUGGUUUCUCUGUACAGGUCCCUCCACUCAUAAAAGGGGACAGUAUAGAACAGCAGAGAACAUGGCUGACUUCUGUGAGGAACGGAGCUGACUGUGAGGUUGUGUAGCUGCUCUUAAUGGAAGGAUCAAGAAAAAACACAAACUGCAGUAAAACAACAUACCACAUAACUAGCCAUUUUCAAGUUGGAAUCCAUUCCCCAGAUCUACAUUCUCCCCCCCCUCAUCCCGGCCAGAAAUGACACUCAAUGGGUCUGAGAAAGGGCCACACGAGGACUGGGGAGUCGCUGUGGCUGUGUGGGGCCUAUAGUGGGAGCCAAGCCAGUGCUCCCAGGAGCAGCAGGAGCAGCAGCAGAGGCAGAGUGCAUGAGAGCGGGCCCAGCCCUGGGGCUCUGCUGGGGCUGCACAGGUCAAAGAGGCUCCCCUGGAAGCGUAUCUUCUUGGAGUCUUCCUUCAGCGUCUCCCAGAUACGCCCCACCUCCUCCUGACACUCUGACAAGGCUGUGGUGGCACACAAGUGGAAUGCCUCCCAGUGGCUGAGAAGAGAAUAGCAAUCCAUAGUCAUCUAUUUAGAGCGGAGCACAAAAUCAGCAAUUGUUGUUGGCCCUGAGAUCUUAUUCUAUUCGUGGACAAUCAAAGCUGUUUAACACUGUUGUUAUUCCUCAUUGCACAUUGUUAUCAUUUCAAUGAGAGUAUUUUAUUUUCUAGAACAACAGUAGGCCUGUUAAGUGAUAUUUAUUGGGUACACAUCCACAGGGGCUCACUGAUCAUACUUUUCAAAUACAUGCGGAGUUUCACUCCUUGGAUUGAGAGUUGAUUUGAUUUCACUUCUAGAAAGAACACUGUGAUAAGGUACUAUCUCAUGCCCCACAGUGUUUGGUACAAGCCAGUAAAAAAUAAAGAAAUUGUGCACUUACCUGUUAGUUGAUUCAUAUUGUACAUUGCAACAGCAGGCCAGGAAAAUAAAACAUGGAGGAAAC
rnacentral:lncRNA from 1 species